GCCCCGGUAGCUCAGCAGGAUAGAGCGUCCGCCUCCUAAGCGGAAGGCCAGAGGUUCAAAUCCUCUUCGGGGCACCA
rnacentral:tRNA from 1 species